rnacentral:rRNA from 1 species
GUUUGAUCCUGGCUCAGGAUGAACGCUAGCUACAGGCUUAACACAUGCAAGUCGAGGGGCAUCAGGAAGAAAGCUUGCUUUCUUUGCUGGCGACCGGCGCACGGGUGAGUAACACGUAUCCAACCUGCCCUUUACUCGGGGAUAGCCUUUCGAAAGAAAGAUUAAUACCCGAUGGCAUAAUGAUUCCGCAUGGUUUCAUUAUUAAAGGAUUCCGGUAAAGGAUGGGGAUGCGUUCCAUUAGGUUGUUGGUGAGGUAACGGCUCACCAAGCCUUCGAUGGAUAGGGGUUCUGAGAGGAAGGUCCCCCACAUUGGAACUGAGACACGGUCCAAACUCCUACGGGAGGCAGCAGUGAGGAAUAUUGGUCAAUGGGCGCUAGCCUGAACCAGCCAAGUAGCGUGAAGGAUGAAGGCUCUAUGGGUCGUAAACUUCUUUAUAUAAGAAUAAGUGCAGUAUGUAUACUGUUUUGUAUGUAUUAUAUGAAUAGGAUCGGCUAACUCCGUGCC